CUCAUAAUUCGCAUCAUCACCGGUCUAGCCAGUUCUUUGCAUGCAGAAAAGGAGGCAUUUUUCCAUUCUGAGGCAUUCUCCGAUCCUCUGCGUCCUACUGCACGGACUGUUCGACACAUUGACAGACGUGACGUCAAGAAAACAGACACCACAGCAGACAUCAUGAAUCUAAACAACCAAGCCGUCUGUGUUGUAGCGGUCAUCGUGGGGUUUAUGUUCGGUGGAUUCCUCAUCACCAUGGGCCUGACGUAAACACCACAGAUAUCGUCAUUGACAACUAUGGUUGGUAGCUGAGUACAGGCUGACAGAGGACCGGAACACCAACACAGUCAGCAACAUCAUCCCUACAAUAUAGAUACACAGGACCCUGCUUUUAUGACAACUGAUUUUGUAAUGAUAUAGUAAAUGGCCAGCUAUAUACACUCGACCGACCUCCCGACUGUAGCUCCUCUGUUUAUAGCCAGCCUACUGUCGUUAUAGAGUACCUUUUGAAACCUAUUUCACAAGUGUUCACCACCAUAGUCAUCUUCUCCAACUAUCAUAUGCGUGUGCUGUUUCUAUAGAUAUUACAAAUCUUGCGUAUAUUUUACAAAAAAGGUGUUACUUGUUAUUCAUCGAGGCUAUAGACUGUAAUGACGACAUGAUGACGCAAAACUGACCUCGGUUUUUCGUCACGAAUUUGUCAUCGGUCUUUGAGCUUCAUGCAGUAGUCAGACUGUGACGUAAUGAUGACGUAACCUCCACCAUGGGAUUUUGUCAUGAUAUCGUGAAUGGUCAGCUGACACUCGACCAACCUCCCGACUGUAGCACUUCUGUUUAUAGCCAACCCACUGUCGUUACAAGUACUAUACCAAACGUCUCUCACCAGUGUUUAACCCGACAGUCGUUUUCUCAACAAAUGCGUGGUAAGACUUCUGCUGUUCUGCAAACAUUAUAAUUACAAAUGUCCAUUUCAAAAGUGUGAGAUUACUUGUUAUUCACCGAAGCUCUAGACUUUAAUGACGACAUGAUGACACAAAACUUGACUUGGUUUUCCGUCACGAUGUUGUCAUCCGUCUUUGAGUUUCAUGCAGUAGUCAGACUGUGACGUAAUGAUGACGUAACCUCCACCAUGGGAUUUUGUCAUGAUAUCGUGAAUGGUCGGCUACACCCGACCGGUACUUUGCAUUGAAUGAUAGCCGCUCUUCUGUGCUCCGAUUUCUUAGAGACCUCACGUCACUGUGACAUAAUGUACUAGUAUGUUACCCAGACAUUGUGUCAGAUGUAAUCGUUUAGUCUUUUUUUUAAUUGUGAAGUUUGGAGCCUGAUUGAAGCGUAUUGUAGACAAACUCUACAGUCGUGUUCACAUCGUGUAAGCCACAUGAUUUGAGGCAAAGUUUCCUGGUCUGCUAUUUCCUUUCUUUGAUGUAAAUAAAGCAAUCUAACCCGCAUGAAAACAGACUUGAGUCCUGUUAUUUAGCAGAUAACAUGAGUUCUAUCCGCUGAAUCAAAAUGCCUGUGAAUGAAGAGAACUGAAGCGGUCCAAUGUAUGUGGAUUUGGUAUAGCCCCGCCCUCCCAAGGAUUUUAUUGGUAUCCCCGAAUGCGGAGCCAAUCCAGCUCAUCACAGGAUAUCGCGAUUAUGCGUGCAAACCAGCUGUAAUUUUGUUUAAUCGUAAUUCGCAUAAUGACCAGUCUAACCAGUUCUGUGCCUGCAGAAAGGCAGGCAUUUUCUCUGAGGCAUUCUCAUUCUCUGCCUCCUACUGCACGGACUGUUCGCCGCAUUGACAGGUAAAACGACAGGAGUGACUGCAAGAAAGCAGACACUACAGCAGAAAUCAUGGAUAUAAACAACCAGGCCGUCUGUUGUGUAGCGGUCCUCGUGGGAUUAAUGUUCAGUGGAUUCCUCAUCACCAUGGGCAUGGUCUAAAAACACGACAGAUAUCGUCAUUGGCAACUAUGGUUGGUAGCUGACUACAGACUGCCAGCGGACCGGAACACCAACACAGUCAGCAACAUCAUCCCUACAAUAUAGAUACACAGGACCCUGCUUUUAUGAUAACUGAUUUUGUCAUGAUGUAGUGAAUGGUCAGCUACAUAAUGUCAACCGACCUCCCGACUAUAGCUCUUCUGUUUAUUCCUUAAUUGUUAUUCACCGAAGCUAUAGACUUUAAUGACGACAUGAUGACGCAAAAAUGACCUCGGUUUCUCGUCACGAUGUUGUUAUCCGUCUUUGAGCCUCAUGCAGUAGUCAGACUG